GUCUACAGCCAUGCCACCCUGAACAAGCCUGAUUCUGUCUGGUCUCGGAAGCUAAGCAGUGUCAGGCCUGGUUAGUACUUGGUUGGGAGACCACCUAGGAAGACCAGGUGCUGUAGGCA
rnacentral:rRNA from 1 species